CACGGAGGGUGCGAGCGUUGUCCGGAUUUAUUGGGUUUAAAGGGUGCGUAGGCGGGAAGAUAAGUCAGGGGUGAAAGACGGCUGCUCAACAGUCGCAGUGCCCUUGAUACUGUUUUUCUUGGGUUAAGGUGAGGUAGGCGGAAUGGAGGCUGUAGCGGUGAAAUGCAUAGAUAGCCUCCAGAACUCCGAUUGCGAAGGCAGCUUACUGGCCUUAGACCGACGCUGAGGCACGAGAGUGUGGGGAUCAAACAGG
rnacentral:rRNA from 1 species